rnacentral:rRNA from 1 species
UACGAAGGGGGCUAGCGUUGCUCGGAAUCACUGGGCGUAAAGGGUGCGUAGGCGGGUCUUUAAGUCAGGGGUGAAAUCCUGGAGCUCAACUCCAGAACUGCCUUUGAUACUGAGGAUCUUGAGUUCGGGAGAGGUGAGUGGAACUGCGAGUGUAGAGGUGAAAUUCGUAGAUAUUCGCAAGAACACCAGUGCGAAGGCGACUUACUGGACACAUAUUGACGCUGAGGUGCGAAAGCGUGGGGAGCAAACAGG